UACGUAGGGGGCAAGCGUUAUCCGGAUUUACUGGGUGUAAAGGGAGCGUAGACGGCAGGGCAAGUCUGGAGUGAAAGGCAGGGGCCCAACCCCUGGACUGCCCUGGAAACUGUCCGGCUGGAGUGCAGGAGAGGUAAGUGGAAUUCCUAGUGUAGCGGUGAAAUGCGUAGAUAUUAGGAGGAACACCAGUGGCGAAGGCGGCUUACUGGACUGUAACUGACGUUGAGGCUCGAAAGCGUGGGGAGCAGACAGG
rnacentral:rRNA from 1 species